CCUCAAAUAGAGGGUUUGUUUUGAUUCCACGGCAGACAGUAGCGAGUAGCGGCUGAUGAUGGCAGACCAAAGUGGUACACCACGUACUGAAACAACCGCUCCCAGGGGGAAAAACAAAAGUUUAGCAGAGAAGGUCACCAGAAAAAAAGAACUCGAUACUGCAAGAGGAAAACGUUGAGUAAACAUCGGCUCUGCUUUUGAGCAAUGGAGGGAACUGAUGAAGCUGCAGCCAGAGCUAAAAUCGGAUGAAAUGGUCGCGGAGUUUCUGCUGGAAAGUUACGGAAAAACAACGUCGACGCCAGUAAAACGUGGUUUCAAGAGGCCUCCUCCGCCACCAUUGUCCACCAUUGCCGAAUCUUUUUCAGAACGAGAGGAGGAUUUCUCUGUUCAUGGAGUGGAGGGUUUGGACAGCUACUCGGCUGAGACCUCACUUCUCACAAUACAAGCAAGUGUUACAUCAGCAGAUGAAAGAUUGGGUGACAUCAAUGAGGACGCAUUUAAUGAUGUAACAAACUCUAUCAUUGACCACGAUGAGGACGAAUACGAUCCUUCUUGGCAUCCAGACAUGGAGGCGCAAUCAGAUUUGCUGUUGGAAGAGGGGGACACUGUAGAGGAAGACUCUGACUGCAAUGACAGCGACGACCCAGAUUACGUGCCACUUUUUCGUGUGUGCAAAGGCAGAUCUCUGAAUACUGGGUUCAUCCUUGAAGAAUGUCCAUCAGUCACCAUGGAAGACACUGUGCAUGACACGGGAGACGACACAGAUCAAGAUGAUCAUGAAGAAGAUCUCUCUGUGCUGGAGCAAGAGCAAGAGACACAACAUCUUCCCCAAAAAAAGCAAAGAAGGCAACCAUAUAGAUCAGAGAUAACUGUUGAGGUGGAAGAGGAUAUAAUUGGCAAACCGGCUUCUAUUGCUUACCAUGACUGUCUGAGGCAGCUUUGUGAGUUUGUUGCUUUGCCAAUAGAUUCUUGUAAAGGGAAGGACCCCAUCACCCAAAAACAAUGUCAGGCAAAAGGACCUUUUGAGAUUAACAUCAAGUCAAGGGUCACAGCUGCCGUCAUUGAAUGGCUGUGUCCUCAAGGUCAUAUCGUGUGGCGGUGGUCUUCCCAACCAACUUUAAAAUUUGGCAGUCAGUUAGGAGACUUUCUAAUGGCCACCAACAUUUUGCUCACAGGCAACAACUACACAAAGGUGAAAAUGCUUUUCAACUUCAUGAAUAUGGGGAUGAUCAAUGAGAGAUACUUUGCUGGCAUCCAAGACAACUACUGUGUGGACACUAUAAAGGCGUUCUGGAAUGCGAGAAGAGCCAAAGUGAUUGCCAAUGUGAAGACAUUAGGACCAACUGUUGCUCUCGGACAUGUGGACAGGAUUGCUGCACCAUGUCACUGGAGAACACCAGUGGGGACUUGGCGGCUGUUACCAUGGCCAUAGCAACAAGGAGCUUAUUCCAAAGGGAAGCACUGCACACCGCAAAAUCACAGGACUGAUCAUGGAUGAGAGGUGGUCAAAGACGAUUCCAAAGUACUUGACCUUUAGAUCCACUGGUGCCCUGGAGUGUUUCCAUGCACACCUUCUGAUGUACGCAUCAAAACGAAUCGCCUUCGUACCACCUGUGUAUGCGGCCCGAACACUUUUAGCUGCCCUCGACUACAAUGAACACUGCAGCCGACCCUACUAUGUGAAGGCAGAUGGCAAAUACAGCUACCACAAAAUGUACAACAAAAAAAGCGGUGGCUUCUGUCUGUACA